ACUGGGAUUUUUCAUCUUGGAAAAGAAGGGGAGACAUGAUAGAGGCCUAUAAAAUCAUGAUUGGUGUGGAGAAAGUAAAUAAGGAAGUGUUAUUACUCCUCCUAACUCAAGAACUAGGAAUCAUCAAAUGAAAUUAAUGGGCAGCAGGUUUAAAACAAACACAAGGAAAUAUGUUUUCAUGCA